rnacentral:rRNA from 1 species
AUUGAACGCUGGCGGCAUGCCUUACACAUGCAAGUCGAACGGUAACAGGUUAAGCUGACGAGUGGCGAACGGGUGAGUAAUGUAUCGGAACGUGCCCAGUCGUGGGGGAUAACUGCUCGAAAGAGCAGCUAAUACCGCAUACGACCUGAGGGUGAAAGCGGGGGAUCGCAAGACCUCGCGCGAUUGGAGCGGCCGAUAUCAGAUUAGGUAGUUGGUGAGGUAAAGGCUCACCAAGCCGACGAUCUGUAGCUGGUCUGAGAGGACGACCAGCCACACUGGGACUGAGACACGGCCCAGACUCCUACGGGAGGCAGCAGUGGGGAAUUUUGAACAAUGGGCGCAAGCCUGAUCCAGCCAUGCCGCGUGCGGGAAGAAGGCCUUCGGGUUGUAAACCGCUUUUGUCAGGGAAGAAAAGGUUCUGGCUAAUACCUGGGACUCAUGACGGUACCUGAAGAAUAAGCACCGGCUAACUACGUG